UAACCUGAAAAACAAAGUGAAAAUAAUAUUGGAAUGGUUCCUUGCCUCUGCCUGCCAGCAGGCCCCCCCCAGCUUUGGAAAAACCCACUCAGCACCUACCACAGCAGUAACACCGAGAGCUCUUUGAUUUUGUGGACUGAAAACGGAUGGAAGCACAAUGGUGAGGAGUUCAUAAAAGCAAAUCCAUGGAUAAAAAGCAUUAGUUUAACAAUCAGUAAAAGAUUAAACAAGCCCAGUUAUGGAGCAGGUCCACGAUGACAGGAUGAUCCGUGCCACGACUCUGACAGAGCCACUACCGCCAGCAGCCAGACAGGAGCUCGCUCACCUCGUGCUCGCUCCUCACGCUGACGGUGAGAACGGGAAACAGAGGGGCCAAGUGUUCCAAUGUGAUGACAGCUUCCGGGAUGCCAUGUUGCCCCUCAGGGACUGGACCCAAGUGUUUUCAUAUACAGGUCACCCCACUACCGUGCAACAGUGCUUUCCGGUGAACAUGUAGCAGACAGUGAAACCAGUACCAAAAUUACAGGAGUCCAGUCGCAGGAACCAAAUCUGGGAAAUGGCUACAUUUCACCAGCUAAAGGUAAAGCUGUGGUUUAACUAAUUGGAGGGCAGGUAGGGGAUGUGCCUGGGAAGCAAGAGAAUGGCAGUGAGGGAAAAGGAUUAUCAUCAUCAGCUCCAAGCACUGACAUGAAAGAGCAGCUUCACCUGCAUGAUUGCAUGAAAAGGACUGAGAAGCAACUAUCUUGAGUAAGAAAUGCAACUAAGCAGUGAAAUGAAGGUAAGA